UUAUCCGACUUCCGUGGGGUAGGGGAGCAUUGCAGUAGCCUGCGAAGGUGUACCGAAAGGAGCGCUGGAGGUGCUGCAAGAGAUUAUGCUGACAUGAGUAACGAUAAAGCGGGUGAGAAUCCCGCUCGCCGUAAGCCUAGGUUUCCUGGGUAAAGGUCGUCUGCCCAGGGUUAGUCGGCCCCUAAGCCGAGGCAGAAAUGCGUAGGUGAUGGGAAACAGGUUAAUAAUCCUGUACCACCGUGGAAGCGUUAUCAGCGAUGGGGGGACGCAGGAGGGUAGGCCAUCCGGGUGCUGGAAGUCCCGGUAUAAGCCCGUAGGCGGGAGAGACAGGCAAAUCCGUUUCUCUGUAAACGCCGAGAGGUGAUGUGGAGGGCGAAAGCCCGCAAACUGGUUGAUCCCAGACCGCCAAGAAAAGCCUCUAGUGAGCGUCCAAGGUGACCGUACCGUAAACCGACACAGGUAGGCGAGGAGAGAAUCCUAAGGCGCGUGAGAGAACCCUGUUUAAGGAACUCGGCAAAAUGACACCGUAACCUAGGGAGAAGGUGUGCCCUCAUAAGGUGAAGGGACUUGCUCCUGGAGCCGAAGGGGGUUGCAGAGAAGCAGCGGUAGCGACUGUUUACUAAAAACACAGGACUCUGCUAAGUCGCAAGACGACGUAUAGGGUCUGACGCCUGCCCGGUGCUGGAAGGUUAAGGGGAGAUGUUACCCUUCACGGGGGAAGCAUUGAACCGAAGCCCCAGUAAACGGCGGCCGUAACUAUAACGGUCCUAAGGUAGCGAAAUUCCUUGUCGGGUAAGUUCCGACCUGCACGAAUGGCGUAACGACUUCCGCACUGUCUCAAACAGGGACUCAGUGAAAUUGCGGUCUCGGUGCAGAUACCGAGUACCCGCGGCUAGACGGAAAGACCCCGUGCACCUUUACUACAGCUUGGCAUUGGAUUUUGGACGUGUAUGUGUAGGAUAGGUGGGAGGCAGUGAAGUGGGGGCGCCAGCUCUCAUGGAGCCACCCUUGAAAUACCACCCUUAUGCGUUUAGGAUUCUAACCCGGAAGUGUAAUCCACUUCGGGGACAGUGCCUGGUGGGUAGUUUGACUGGGGCGGUCGCCUCCAAAAUAGUAACGGAGGCGCGCGAAGGUUCCCUCAGGCUGAUUGGAAACCAGCCGUAGAGUGUAAAGGCAGAAGGGAGCCUGACUGUGAGACAGACAUGUCGAUCAGGGACGAAAGUCGGUCUUAGUGAUCCGGUGGUUCUGAAUGGAAGGGCCAUCGCUCAACGGAUAAAAGGUACGCCGGGGAUAACAGGCUGAUCUCCCCCAAGAGUUCACAUCGACGGGGAGGUUUGGCACCUCGAUGUCGGCUCAUCGCAUCCUGGGGCUGGAGCAGGUCCCAAGGGUUCGGCUGUUCGCCGAUUAAAGCGGUACGUGAGCUGGGUUUAAAACGUCGUGAGACAGUUUGGUCCCUAUCUACCGUGGGCGGAGGAAUUUUGAGGGGAUCUGUCCCUAGUACGAGAGGACCGGGAUGGACGGACCUCUGGUGUACCAGUUGUCCUGCCAAGGGCAGCGCUGGGUAGCUACGUCCGGAAGGGAUAACCGCUGAAAGCAUCUAAGCGGGAAACCCACCCCAAGAUUAGAAUUCCCGGGGAGCAAUCCCCCUGAAGGCCCCUCGUAGACUACGAGGUUGAUAGGUCGGGUGUGUAAGGGCAGCAAUGUCUUAAGCUAACCGAUACUAAUAGGCCGUGAGGCUUGACCAU
rnacentral:rRNA from 1 species